GCUUACGGCCACACCGCCUGCUUCACCCGAUCUCGUUUGAUCUCGGAAGCUAAAAUAGGGUGGGCCUGGUUAGUACUUGGAUGGGAGACCGCCUGGGAAUACCAGGUGCUGUAAGCU
rnacentral:rRNA from 1 species